GCAUAUCAAUAAGCGGAGGAAAAGAAACUAACAAGGAUUCCCCUAGUAACUGCGAGUGAAGCGGGAAAAGCUCAAAUUUAAAAUCUGACAGUCUUUGGCUGUUCGAGUUGUAGUCUGGAGAAGUGUCUUCCGUGCUGGACCGUGUACAAGUCUCUUGGAACAGAGCGUCAUAGAGGGUGAGAAUCCCGUCUUUGACACGGACUACCAGUGCAUUGUGAUGCGCUCUCAAAGAGUCGAGUUGUUUGGGAAUGCAGCUCAAAAUGGGUGGUAAAUUCCAUCUAAAGCUAAAUAUUGGCGAGAGACCGAUAGCGAACAAGUAACCCGUGAGGGAAAGAUGAAAAGCACUUUGGAAAGAGAGUUAAACAGUACGUGAAAUUGCUGAAAGGGAAACGCUUGAAGUCAGUCGCGUUGUCCAGAACUCAACCUGGCUUUUGCUUGGUGCACUUUCUGGUUGACGGGCCAGCAUCAGUUUUGACUGUCGGAAAAAGGCCUUUGGAAUGUGGCACCUUCGGGUGUGUUAUAGCCUCGGGUUGUAUACGAUGGUUGGAACUGAGGAUCGCAGCACGCCUUUUGGCCGGGGUUCGCCCACGUACGUGCUUAGGAUGCUGGCGUAAUGGCUUUAAACGACCCGUCUUGAAACACGGACCAAGGAGUCUAACAUGCCUGCGAGUGUUUGGGUGGAAAACCCGAGCGCGCAAUGAAAGUGAAAGUUGGGAUCCCUGUCGUGGGGAGCACUGACGCCCAUACCAGACCUUCUGUGACGGAUAUGCGGUUGAGCAUGUAUGUUGGGACCCGAAAGAUGGUGAACUAUGCCUGAAUAGGGUGAAGCCAGAGGAAACUCUGGUGGAGGCUCGUAGCGAUUCUGACGUGCAAAUCGAUCGUCAAAUUUGGGUAUAGGGGCGAAAGACUAAUCGAACCAUCUAGUAGCU
rnacentral:rRNA from 1 species